rnacentral:rRNA from 1 species
AUGAAUAAAAAAGGAACAGUUCGAGUAGUAUCUACAAGUAUUACCGAAAACAUUGUUAAAAUACUUCUACGAGAGGGUUUUAUUGAAAGUGUUCGGAAACAUCAGGAACAUAACUGAUAUUUCUUGGUUUCAACUUUGCGACAUCAAAAGAGAAAGACUAGAAAAGGAAUAUAUAGAACAAGAACCUUUUUUAAGCGUAUCAGCCGACCCGUCUUACGAAUUUAUACCAACUAUCAAGGAAUUCCUAAAGUUUUGGGUGGACUGGGAAUUUCUACGUCGCUCGCAAUGAGUGCUUUCCGCUGGAACACAUACAUGUUAGACAAUCAGCUGCACUAG